CGUGGAGCAUGACACCGUUCGAGAGCGGGAACGACUUCGUUGGGGUCUGGGCGGAGGAGAUUCGGGGGAACGUCACACCUUCAGGGACCCCAACAAGGGGAACCCAGGCCAAGAAGCCGAGACGUCGCGGCGCGCCAAGAUCACCAUGGAUGACUACAAGGAGAGGCAGCGGCGGUCGCGCGACCCCAAGUACCUGUUCGGCAUUCCGGGAAUCAGUGCGGCCGUGCAGACUCGCGCGCCAGCUGCCGUUAGCAGCAGCAAGGCAUCCACGCGGGCUGGCCAACACCUCUGAUCCCGGAGAAACGAGGAGUAGCACCAGCAAUAAAAACAGCAGCUGGCUGGCUAAGCAGCAAAACCACAGAAGCAGUUUGAGCAAGAGCACCAGUUUUGUUGCUAGCAGCGGUGGACAGCGUGCAUUCUGCUAGCCGGUCCAGAAGUCUCAAUGAGCAGCAGGGUCCCUCUAACGACAGUAGCUCAAGCCAGCCCUCACGCCAUGCCAGCAGACGCCACUCUCACCAUCAUCACGAGCAGCAGCCGCACCAGCCUCCACCAUCACUGAUGGAUAGCCAGUACAAGCACUCGUCGGCCUCCUCUUCAUCCGCGGCAGCCGGCACAAACAAUGGGCACUUGUUCCGUUCUCUGGAGGACUCGAGCCACCCCCACCACUAGUCCAGGGGCAGCUCUCAAGAGCAAGGGUGGCUAGAGGCUGCAACAUCAACUUCCAAGGCAAGCUAUUUACCACUUGCACGUUCAACUUCGUGUGCAGCCUUCACCAUGAAUCCCCCUUCCUCCACCCCGUGGCACCAUCAAGUCAAAGACCUCCAAAUGGCGUUGUCUUUCGACAAGCCGCCAUGCGUUCACCUCCAGGAUGCGAACAGCGAAACAGUUUCACUUUAGCACAGCUCAAGUUAUUUACAAAUACUUCAUAACUCAUGUUACGCCACCUCAUUCUACCGUUUAAAUGAAUUAGUGCCUCGUUUCCGAAUUCCAGCCCCCCUCGUCAGAUAGUGAAGGGAGUAUUUCUGCUGUAGCAUAUCUGGUAGCGUGAGCUGGAUAGCUGGCAAGGGAAGCUUUUGCAAUACUAUUUUUGUAGGCCAGCUACGUAUUUUAGAGUGAAUGUACCAUUCUCGGAGCAAACAGGACUGUUGAAAAAGCUACACGAGAGCUACUGGUUGCUUAGUAACAAAGGAAAGAAACUGAUUGAAUGUAGUUGAGGUAUUUGUUAACGCUUUUCGCUCAUCUGUACUUGCAAACACCGUAACUACCGUAUCCGCUGUGGACGCAAAACGUAGCUGCUCAAUACGAAGAGUGAUGAUGCCAUAGUACCGGUUCCGUUACUGUUGGACACGUUGCUGCCUCCGAGAGAUGGCGCCACAAACAGAUUUCUCUUAAUCCUUGGAAUGCGAUGUCAAGGAGCCUGAAAACUCGUCAACGCCGGUGAGAGGGCGGUGGUCUCCGACAGCGUUGCACUUCUCUCUCCAUCUCACCGCGUUUGCGCCAGGAAAGGCUUGCUAGAGGCAUUUGCGGCCGCGCAAGUCAGUCCGGGCGACACCGUUAUUUUUGGUACCAACACAUACCCGUGCAUUGUUACACCGGUGCGAGGGCAGUGUCUAGACUGAGUGGAACCCUUUUGAAGAGGUCCGAAACUCUCCGAUCCAAAUAGAAAAAAAUCCAGGGUUAGAAGCAAAUAUACGACCUGGACCUAAAGUCUGGUAGACACUGUUUAAAUGUACUAUCAAUGCGAAAAAUUGAUAAUUUCUUCAUAAAAACAGCUUUUUAAACUUUUCUAGUCAAUGGAAUUUCCUGUUACGUAUUCCCUUCCCCGUGGUGAAAUGUUUACAGUCAAUUAUCGAAGGCCACGUUGUCCAACAAGGUAGAAAACUACAACACACGUCUAUUGCGUGUGUUCCAACGUACUUCAUUGAAGUACCACCCAGUUUUUUAUGCAUAAAAGUACAGCGAAAAUUAAGGAAGCUUCUACGACAUAUUCUUCCAUAAAAUGUGUUUCGCUGUUCUUAUGUAUGCCAUCCUCUGAAAUUCUGUUGUUGCAAGAUUCCCGAGAGUGGUAAUUCUAUUUAACAGACAUCGCUGCGCUUUCAUACUUUAAUUGUUUUUUUGGACGAAGUCACUUUGUAAGAAUCCUAUAGUGAUCCGAACUCCUUUUUUUUCGUUGAAUGUUCGCAGUCAGUUAUCGAAGGCCACUGUUGUCGAGCGAGGUAGAAAACUACAACGCACGCCUAUCGCGUUCCAACGUACUUCAUUGAACUGCUGCCCAGCAUUCUACGCAUAAAAGGACAGUAAAAAUCAAAGGAACUCUUACGGGUUAUUCUUCGAUAAAGUGCCUUUCGACGUUCUUACCGAUGUAAUUCUGUGAAAGCCUCUUGCUGCAAGAUUCACGAGAAUGGCAAUUCUCUUUUAGAGACAUCGCUGUGGUUCAAUGUUUUAACUCUUUUUUUUGGACAGCGUCCUUAUGUAAGGAUUUUUAUAGUGAUCCUAACUUUUUAUAUGCCGUGUCAGAGGAAAUGUAUGAGUAUUUGUGUUAUGUUAUGUGUGCCCUUUCACUAUGAUCUAUUUUGAUGCUUGCGGUAUUAUUAGUGUGUAAGGUGGUGUUCGGUUUAUUUUGUUGCCUGCCGGACUCUGACGCAAGCCACUAAGGCUUUGGCAUGUCUAGACCCAUAAGCUGUUUUAUCCUUUUCAUGCGCCACCCAUGAAAGACUCAGUAAACUCUUCAUUGACAUAACAUCAUUGUAGUGUACUCAACAUUAUGUUUUAGCGAAAGUAAUCACAUAAUACGCCGAUUUAUGCGUGUUAUAGUGACUACUUCUAAUUGAUUUGUAAAUAAAUUUGCAUUUUUAUUCUGAAG
rnacentral:lncRNA from 1 species